ensembl:lncRNA
GCGUGCUCGGGGCCACCAGUGCGGACCAGUUUAGGACAGUAAGAAGCAGAGUGACACCAGUAAGGACCAGUUUGGGACCAGUUUGGACCAGCACGGACCGGUUGGGACCAGUUUAGGACAGUAAGAACCAGUGUGACACCAGUUUGGGACCAGUUUCGACCACUUUGGACCAGUGUGGGACCAGUUCAGAACCAGUUUGGACCAGUAUGGACCAGUUUCGACCACUUUGGACCAGUGUGACACCAGUAUGGACCAGUUUGGACCAGUCUGGGACCAGCUUGGACCAGUUUGGGACCAGUAAGGACAAGUGUGGGACCAGUUUAGGACAGUAAGAACCAGUGUGACACCAGUUUGGCACCAGUUAGGACCAGUUUGGGACCAGUAUGGACCAGUUUGUGUUUGCCAAGCCCCCACCCCCCCCAGGGACCCCAAAGUGUCACCUCAGGGUGCUGUGACAAACCUGACAAAGCCCUCCCCCAGUGCCACCAGUGCCACACCAGUGUCACCAUCCCAGUGCCACCAGUGUCACCAUCCCAGUGUCACCAUCCCAGUGUCACCAUCCCAGUGUCACACCAGUGUCACCACUGUCACCAUCCCACUGUCACCAUCCCACUGUCACCAUCCCAGUGUCACCAUCCCAGUGCCACCAGUGUCACCAUCCCAGUGUCACCAUCCCAGUGUCACACCAGUGUCACCAUCCCACUGUCACCAUCCCACUGUCACCAUCCCAGUGUCACCAUCCCAGUGCCACCAGUGUCACCAUCCCAGUGUCACCAUCCCAGUGCCACAUCAGUGUCACCACUGUCACCAUCCCAGUGUCAGCACCCCAGUGCCACCAUCGCAGUGUCACCAUUGUCACCAUCCCAGUGUCAACAUCCCAGCGUCACACCAGUGUCACCAUUGUCACCAUCCCAGUGUCACCAUCACAGUGCCACCGGUGUCACCAUCCCAGUGUCAGCACCCCCAGUGUCACCAUCCCAGAGGCACCAGUGUCACCACCCUGGUGUCACCACCCCAGUGCCACCACCAAUGUCACCAUCAAUGUCACCAACAUCACACCAAUGUCACCAAUGUCCUUUACUGCUGUCCCUGCUCCCGCAGCCACCCCAGUGCCACCAUCAAUGUCACCAAUGCCACCAAUGUCACCUCAGUGCCACCAUCAAUGUCACCUCAGUGUCACCAAUGUCCUUUACUGCUGUCCCUGCUCCCGCAGCCACCCCAGUGCCACCACCAAUGUCACCAAUGUCACCAAUGUCACCUCAGUGUCACCAAUGUCCUUUACUGCUGUCCCUGCUCCCGCAGCCACCCCAGCGCCCUCAGCAGCGCCACCCCAGUGUCACCAUCAAUGUCACAUCAAUGUCACUCCAGUGCCACCAUCACUGUCACCUCAGUGUCACCAAUGUCCUUUACUGCUGUCCCUGCUCCGCAGCCACCCCAGCGCCCUCAGCAGUGCCACCCCAGUGUCACCAUCAAUGUCACCAAUGUCACCCCAGUGCCACCAUCAAUGUCACCAAUGUCACCAAUGUCACAUCAGUGUCACCCCAGUGCCACCAUCAGUGUCACCAAUGUCCUUUACUGCUGUCCCUGCUCCCGCAGCCACCCCAGCGCCCUCAGCAGCGCCACCCCAGUGGCCACCAUCAGUGU